UACGGAGGGUGCGAGCGUUGUUCGGAAUCACUGGGCGUAAAGCGUGCGCAGGCGGUUUCUUAAGUCAGAUGUGAAAGCCCCGGGCUUAACCUGGGAACUGCGUUUGAAACUGGGAGACUUGAGUGUGGCAGAGGGGGGUGGAAUUCCACGUGUAGCAGUGAAAUGCGUAGAUAUGUGGAGGAACACCGAUGGCGAAGGCAGCCCCCUGGGUUAACACUGACGCUCAUGCACGAAAGCGUGGGGAGCAAACAGG
rnacentral:rRNA from 1 species